CAGGAUUACUGGAAAAUCAAGUGUUUCCCUCGUUUUAUAAGCUAUUCCCAGGAUGAGUUGCUGAAGUUUAUUGAUACUUGGAUCAGAAAAAUUUGUUAUCAUGGAUCUGUCAUCACCAUUUUGUUUACAUCUAACCGAACCAGGAUAACAAAAUGCUCUUCUGCCUCUCUUGUGAAGCUGAUUUCAAUGAGAUGAGUAUUGAUGUGAUUGAAAGCAAAUAUUGUAUUGUGGUCAGAGUGUACACAAGAUAUGUUUCAACCUUUGGUUUGUUGCCCAUCCACAAUUUAAUGCUCUGUACCAAAUAUGUAAAACCUCAGGUCUAGUAAGGGCUGAAACACAUCUAAGUCAUUGUCAACUUACCAAUCUUGUCCUGAGUUUUUUUAAAAAAGACUUGGUACCACAAAAAAAGGAAAGAAGGGAAGAAAAAGCUGUUUUUACCACUGGACUAUCUUUAUGUACUGAACAUAGAUGUAGAAUGGUCUUUGUGCAAGAGAUGGGUAUCUAAGAACUGACCCACAAAGGAGUCAGUUUCACCCGAAAAAUCUCUUGCUUAGUCUUAAUCUGUGAUGCAAAGACUUGGUCCCAGGAAAAAAAAGGAAAAGGAAAUCCAGUGAGUGUGUUAAAUGUUUCAAUCACUGGACUGUCUUUAUGCGCUGAACAGAGAGACGACUUUGUAAAAGAGAUGGGUGACUAAGAACUGACCCACAAAGAAGUCAGUUUUACCCUUUUUACUAAUACUUGGAACUCUCACACUGAUCAAAAUUUGUUUGAUUAACAGCUUCUUAGUUAUUAUUAUUUUUUUGUUACAUUGCAGAACUGACACUCACUCGGUGUUCGCCGUCUCUGUUACCAUGGAAAAACUCUUUCUCUCUCUCUGGAGGAUUGAAUGGUACCGUGAAGGUAAAGAUUACAAGUUUAGAGGGAAUCUCAUUGGAAACGAGUCAUUUCAUGCCGGAAAAAUGACCAUAUAAAGGAAAAAAAGUUUCAUUCUUGGAGAGGACGAAAAAUUGGGGGUCGAUCCGCCACCGUCCUCCACCACACUCGC
rnacentral:lncRNA from 1 species